CCUCAUCACUCGGACACCAGCCUGCGUCAUCAUGGCAGGAAGAGGGAGCGGGGGAUGGGGAUGGCGAAAGGUUCACAGGCACGGAGAGCGCGCAGAGACUUUCUUUCAUGGCAAAGAGCACAGAAACUUAGAGAGAUGGCUGCCUGGUGCAGAAGACAAGGCAGCACACUCCCAGGCAGGGCAAGGAGCUGCCCAGGGCCGCAGGUCCCCAUGCAAAAUGAGGAUUCGAGGACAAGAGAAGCUCACCCUAUCUCUUCUCACUGGGCAGGUCGGGGAGAGCUUCCACCUAUCCUGUGCUGCACCCCCAAACAAAGCAUCGCACUGAGUUGAUCAGCCAUUCACUGAAGAAGCAGUCAUCUGUUGCCUAUGGGGAAAGUGAAUCCGAUGUGAAUAGAGCUUGACCUGGAAAGACAUUGAGAUAGACUUGUGGUAACCAUUUAAUGCACAGUUGCCUGAGGAAUUAAGACUAAAUGAGAGUUAAAACAGAGAAGUCACUGGAAGAUACACUCCUCCAAGAUGAGGGAAUAAACCAAGAAAGAGGAGGACGAGAAACUGAGGAAGCAGGUGAUCCAGCACAGGCAUGAGGCGAUGAGACGCCCAGGCUGAUGGUUGGGAAUCAGUCUUGGAAAGCAACCAUUAACAGACUGGACAAGAAGAGAAAAGCUCCAGGGCAGACGUCCUCAAAGAAGCAACAGCCAGGUGGAUGGUAGUGUCUGACCACACUCCAGAGAGUUUCAGAGCUUGCUGGGAGAAUUUUGAGAGAAAAAUUAAUGAUAGGUGCGUUCAGUGGUAUACUGGUGAACCACAUCUCUGAAGAGAAGAAAAAAAAGAAAGAAGCCCUGAUUUGUAUGUAGCCUUUGCUGAUUUCCAUGGCAUAAAUGCUUCCACUAUAGCCGAUUUCAAGCUACCAGGGUGAAGUCACUGAACACAGAGCGGACAA
rnacentral:lncRNA from 1 species